rnacentral:rRNA from 1 species
GACGAACGCUGGCGGCGUGCCUAAUACAUGCAAGUCGAGCGGACGAAUCGAAAGCUUGCUUUUGAUUCGUUAGCGGCGGACGGGUGAGUAGCACGUGGGCAACCUGCCCUGUAGACGGGGAUAACACCGAGAAAUCGGUGCUAAUACCGGAUAACACGAAAUGUCGCAUGACGUUUCGUUGAAAGACGGCGCAAGCUGUCGCUACAGGAUGGGCCCGCGGCGCAUUAGCUAGUUGGUGAGGUAACGGCUCACCAAGGCGACGAUGCGUAGCCGACCUGAGAGGGUGAUCGGCCACACUGGGACUGAGACACGGCCCAGACUCCUACGGGAGGCAGCAGUAGGGAAUCUUCCGCAAAGGACGAAAGUCUGACGGAGCAACGCCGCGUGAGCGAAGAAGGCCUUCGGGUCGUAAAGCUCUGUUGUUAGGGAAGAACAAGUAACGCAGUAACUGGCGUUACCGUGACGGUACCUAACGAGAAAGCCACGGCUAACUACGUG